rnacentral:rRNA from 1 species
GAUGAACGCUGGCGUCGUGCCUAAUACAUGCAAGUCGAGCGAACGGACGAGAAGCUUGCUCCUCUGAUGUUAGCGGCGGACGGGUGAGUAACACGUGGAUAACCUACCUAUAAGACUGGGAUAACUUCGGGAAACCGGAGCUAAUACCGGAUAAUAUUUUGAACCGCAUGGUUCAAAAGUGAAAGACGGUCUUUCUGUCACUUAUAGAUGGAUCCGCGCUUCAUUAGCUAGUUGGUAAGGUAACGGCUUACCAAGGCAACGAUGCAUAGCCGACCUGAGAGGGAGAUCCGCCACACUGGAACUGAGACACGGUCCGAACUCCUCCGGGAGGGAGCAGUAGGGAAUCUUCCGCGAUGAGCGAAAGCCUGACGGAGCAACGCCGCGUGAGUGAUGAAGGUCUUCGGAUCGUAAACCUCUGUUAUGCGGAAAGAACAUAUGUGUAAGUAACUGUGCACAUCUUGACGGUACCUAGUCAGAAAGCCACGGCUAACUACGUG